AGUAGACUUUUUCCUUACUUCUUUUAUCAAACUCGCAAUAAAUCCAGACGCAAAAUUCUCUGUUUAUUGUGGGUGGGUUGCCUUGUGAUUGAUGACCUACACAAAACUGAAAAUGGCAACCGAGCCGCCAACAGCCAGCGAAUUGGCCUACCUCGCCGAGCUGAAGACUCAACUCCGCGAGUUGCGGGAGCACCAGGCCACAGAUAUGUUCAUCCGGAUGAGCACCUCCCCCUGUGGGGGAGACCUUCCGGGGUGAACUAAAAGGCAGUUCGACUUCGAGGUCCGGCCAUAUUAAUAUCAAAAGACUAAUUCAGGGCUUCGAGGAUCUUCGCAAGACCUCGCAGCAGCUGAAUGAUCUCCACGAGUUGCCCGAGGAGCUAUAGAAUGUGGAUGUGCGACGGCUGCUCAGGAGCUAUGAAAAGUUAAUCGAAGAGGGCAAUGCGCUGCAACAAAGAUGUUUCAAACUGAAACAAUCCACGAAAAGUUCUCUGCAUCUAACGGACAGCGAAAAGCUUUCGAUUUUGGGCAAACACAUUUCCAAUGAUACGGCAUCAAAGGUGUCUAAUGAUUUGGCAUCAAAGUAUUUAAAGACCAAUUCUGAGGAACUUUUAGAUUCUCAAAAUAUGGGAAGAAAUUGCAGCAAACAAAAGUAUGGUAAGAACAAAAAAUGUAGCUUAAGUCUGGCAGUCUCUGAGAGUUUUUUGAACAGCUUUUAAUGUAGCCUAAACCGAAACAUUAUUUGAUUUCUAGGCAGAGGCCGAUGGGAUGCUCUGCUUCACUUGAUGCUACGCCUCAGUCCAUUCAACACUUGCGGCAAAAAGGGCAAGAGUAAAAAGGUAAUAUCCACAGAAGUUCAUCCAUAAUGCUGCCCAAAAAACUCACAUAGAUUCACCACACACACUCACAUGCCACACACCACACGAUAGCAUCCACACAUAAUCGUAUUUGAAAAUAAUCCAAUAAAAUUCUCCAAUAG
rnacentral:lncRNA from 1 species